ACGAACGCUGGCGGCGUGCUUAACACAUGCAAGUCGAACGGAAAGGCCCUGCUUUUGUGGGGUGCUCGAGUGGCGAACGGGUGAGUAACACGUGAGUAACCUGCCCUUGACUUUGGGAUAACUUCAGGAAACUGGGGCUAAUACCGGAUAGGAGCUCCUGCUGCAUGGUGGGGGUUGGAAAGUUUCGGCGGUUGGGGAUGGACUCGCGGCUUAUCAGCUUGUUGGUGGGGUAGUGGCUUACCAAGGCUUUGACGGGUAGCCGGCCUGAGAGGGUGACCGGCCACAUUGGGACUGAGAUACGGCCCAGUCUCCUACGGGAGGCAGCAGUGGGGAAUAUUGCACAAUGGGCGGAAUCCUGAUGCAGCAACGCCGCGUGCGGGAUGACGGCCUUCGGGUUGUAAACCGCUUUCGCCUGUGACGAAGCGUGAGUGACGGUAAUGGGUAAAGAAGCACCGGCUAACUACGUG
rnacentral:rRNA from 1 species